rnacentral:rRNA from 1 species
GACGAACGCUGGCGGCGUGCUUAACACAUGCAAGUCGAACGGUGAGAGUGGGAGCUUGCUCCUGCUGGAUCAGUGGCGAACGGGUGAGUAACACGUGAGUAACCUGCCCUUGACUCUGGGAUAAGCGUUGGAAACGACGUCUAAUACCGGAUACGAGCUUCAGCCGCAUGGCUAGGAGUUGGAAAGAUUUUUCGGUCAAGGAUGGACUCGCGGCCUAUCAGCUUGUUGGUGAGGUAAUGGCUCACCAAGGCGACGACGGGUAGCCGGCCUGGGAGGGUGACCGGCCACACUGGGACUGAGACACGGCCCAGACUCCUACGGGAGGCAGCAGUGGGGAAUAUUGCACAAUGGGCGCAAGCCUGAUGCAGCAACGCCGCGUGAGGGACGACGGCCUUCGGGUUGUAAACCUCUUUUAGCAGGGAAGAAGCGCAAGUGACGGUACCUGCAGAAAAAGCACCGGCUAACUACGUGCCAGCCGCCGCGGUAA